ACUGUAAGAGGCGAUGAAGGACGUACUAGACUGCGAUAAGUCUUGGGGAGCUGUCAAGAAGCUUUGAUCCAGGAAUUUCCGAAUGGGACAACCCAGCAUAUGGAGACAUAUGUUACCAGAAAUGGAGCUAACCCGGUGAAGUGAAACAUCUCAGUAACCGGAGGAAGAGAAAUCAAAUGAGAUUCCCAUAGUAGCGGCGAGCGAACUGGGAUUAGGACAAACCCUAUGCUUGCAUAGGGGGUUGUAGGACCAAGAUGUGAGAUCAAAGAAGAUAGAUGAAAUAGUUGGAAAGCUAUAGUAUAAAGGGUGAUACUCCCGUAAUCGAAAUCUUCAAUGACUCUAUUGGUAUCCUGAGUAGGUCGGAACACGUGAUAUUUUGACUGAAUCUGGGGGGACCACCCUCCAAUCCUAAAUACUACUUACAGAUCGAUAGUGAACAAGUACCGUGAGGGAAAGGUGAAAAGUACUCCAGCGAGGAGAGUGAAAUAGAACCUGAAACCAUUAGCUUACAAUCAUUCGGAGCCCUAUGUUUUUAACAGGGUGACGGACUGCCUUUUGCAUAAUGAGCCUGCGAGUUGUGGUGUCUGGCAAGGUUAAGCCAAGUGCGAAGCCGUAGCGAAAGCGAGUCUUAAUAGGGCGACUUAGUCAGAUGCUGCAGACCCGAAACGAAGUGAUCUAUCCAUGAGCAGGUUGAAGCUGGUGUAAGAGCCAGUGGAGGACCGAACCGGUGUGCGUUGAAAAGUGCUCGGAUGACUUGUGGAUAGGGGUGAAAGGCCAAUCAAACUUCGUGAUAGCUGGUUCUCUCCGAAAUAUAUUUAGGUAUAGCCUUGCGUAGUAGCAUAUAGGGGUAGAGCACUGAAUGGGCUAGGGCUGCUUACCGCGGUACCAAACCCUAUCAAACUAUGAAUACUAUAUGUGUAAUCGCAGGAGUCAGGCGUAGGGUGAUAAAAUCCUAUGUCGAGAGGGGAACAACCCAGACUAACAGCUAAGGUCCCAAAGUCAUAUCUAAGUGGAAAACGAUGUGGAGUUACUGUGACAACCAGGAGGUUGGCUUAGAAGCAGCCAUCCUUUAAAGAAAGCGUAACAGCUCACUGGUCUAGUGAUUCUGCGCGGAAAAUAUAACGGGGCUAAGAUGUGCACCGAAGCUUUAGACUUGGAUUUAUCCAAGUGGUAGGAGAGCGUUCUAUUCAGCGUUGAAGAUGUACCGGUAAGGAGCGUUGGAGCGGAUAGAAGUGAGCAUGCAGGCAUGAGUAGCGAUAAUUGAGGUGAGAAUCCUCAACGCCGAAAACCCAAGGUUUCCUACGCGAUGCUCGUCAUCGUAGGGUUAGUCGGGACCUAAGUCGAGUCCGAAAGGGGUAGACGAUGGCAAAUUGAUUAAUAUUUCAAUACCAACAAAUAAGCGCGAUGUGGGGACGCAUAGAGUUAAUCGAGCUCACUGAUGGAAUAGUGGGUCGAAGGACGUAGGUCGUAUCUUAGGCAAAUCCGGGAUACACGAGACCGAGAUCUUACAGGCUCUUGACACUCUUCGGAGAAGAUAGAGAAUCGAUGAUACUGUCGUGCCAAGAAAAGCCACUAAGUAUAUUAUUUGUUGCCCGUACCGUAAACCGACACAGGUGGGUGGGAUGAGUAUUCUAAGGCGCGUGGAAGAACCCUGGUUAAGGAACUCUGCAAACUAGCACCGUAUCUUCGGUAUAAGGUGUGCCUACUUUGGUAUAGAGAUUUACUCUCAAAAGCUAAAGAGGUUGCAACAAAGAGUCCCUCCCGACUGUUUACCAAAAACACAGCACUUUGCUAACACGUAAGUGGAUGUAUAAGGUGUGACGCCUGCCCGGUGCUCGAAGGUUAAUUGAUGAUGUCAGCGUAAGCGAAGCAUUUGAUCGAAGCCCGAGUAAACGGCGGCCGUAACUAUAACGGUCCUAAGGUAGCGAAAUUCCUUGUCGGUUAAAUACCGACCUGCAUGAAUGGCGUAACGAGAUGGGAGCUGUCUCAACCAGGGAUCCAGUGAAAUUGUAGUGGAGGUGAAAAUUCCUCCUACCCGCGGAAAGACGGAAAGACCCCGUGCACCUUUACUACAGCUUGACACUGUAGCUUGGAUAUUCUUGUGCAGGAUAGGUGGGAGGCUUUGAUUCAUAGACGCCAGUUUAUGAUGAGCCAUCCUUGAGAUACCACCCUUGAAUAUUUGAGUUA
rnacentral:rRNA from 1 species